rnacentral:tRNA from 1 species
GGGGAGAUGUCCGAGUGGUUGAAGGAGCACGCCUGGAACGCGUGUAAGGUGCAGGCCUUCGAGGGUUCGAAUCCCUCUCUCUCCGCCA